AAGUCGUAACAAGGUUUCCGUAGGUGAACCUGCGGAAGGAUCAUUACCGAGUUGAUUCGGGCUCCGUCCCGAUCCUCCCACCCUUUGUAUACCUACCUCUGUUGCUUUGGCGGGCCGCGGUCUUCCGCGGCCGCCCCCCGAUUUUGGGGGGUGGCUAGUGCCCGCCAGAGGACUAUCAAACUCCAGUCAGUAAACGUUGCAGUCUGAAAAAAAUAUUAAAUAAACUAAAACUUUCAACAACGGAUCUCUUGGUUCUG
rnacentral:misc_RNA from 1 species